GUCGAGAAUCUUUCACAAUGGGGGCAACCCUGAUGGAGCGACGCCGCGUGGAGGAUAAGGUCUUCGGAUUGUAAACUCCUGUCAUGCGUGAACAAGGUUGCUUGGUUAAUACCUGGGCAAAUUGAUGGUAACGCAAGAGGAAGAGACGGCUAACUCUGUGCCAGCAGCCGCGGUAAUACAGAGGUCUCAAGCGUUGUUCGGAAUCACUGGGCGUAAAGGGUGCGUAGGUGGCGUGGUAAGUCAGAUGUGAAAGCCCGGGGCUCAACCUCGGAACUGCAUCCGAUACUGCCAUGGUAGGGUACUGGAGAGGUGACUAGAAUUCUCGGUGUAGCAGUGAAAUGCGUAGAUAUCGAGAGGAAUACCAAAGGCGUAGGCAGGUCACUGGACAGUGACUGACACUGAGGCACGAAGGCCAGGGGAGCGAACGGGAUUAGAUACCCGUGUAGUCC
rnacentral:rRNA from 1 species